rnacentral:rRNA from 1 species
UACAGAGGGGGCAAGCGUUGUUCGGAAUUACUGGGCGUAAAGGGCGCGUAGGCGGCCUUCUAAGUCGAACGUGAAAUCCCUCGGCUUAACCGGGGAACUGCGUCUGAUACUGGAUGGCUAGAGAUUGGGAGAGGGAUGCGGAAUUCCAGGUGUAGCGGUGAAAUGCGUAGAUAUCUGGAGGAACACCGGUGGCGAAGGCGGCAUCCUGGACCAACACUGACGCUGAGGAGCGAAAGCCAGGGGAGCAAACGGG